rnacentral:rRNA from 1 species
AGUGAACGCUGGCGGCAGGCCUAAUACAUGCAAGUCGAACGGCAGCACAGCAGAGCUUGCUCUGUGGGUGGCGAGUGGCGGACGGGUGAAGAAUACGUGGGAAUCUGCCCAGUCGUGGGGAUAACGUAGGGAAACUUACGCUAAUACCGCAUGCGCCUUCGGGGAAAGCCGGGGACCUUCGGGCCUGGCGCGAUUGGAUGAGCCCACGUCGGAUUAGCUAGUUGGCGGGGUAAAGGCCCACCAAGGCGACGAUCCGUAGCUGGUCUGAGAGGAUGAUCAGCCACACUGGAACUGAGACACGGUCCAGACUCCUACGGGAGGCAGCAGUAGGGAAUAUUGGACAAUGGGCGCAAGCCUGAUCCAGCCAUGCCGCGUGAGUGAAGAAGGCCCUCGGGUGUAA